rnacentral:rRNA from 1 species
CCCCUAGAUGUUCUGGGCCGCACGCGCGCUACACUGAACAGUUCAACAAGUCUUAACCUUGGCCGAUAGGUCUGGGUAAUCUUUGAACGCUGUUCGUGAUUGGGAUAGACCUUUGCAAUUAUGGGUCUUCAACGAGGAAUUCCUAGUAAACGCAAGUCAUCAGCUUGCAUUGAUUACGUCCCUGCCCUUUGUACACACCGCCCGUCGCACCUACCGAUUGAAUGGUCCGGUGAAAUCUCGGGACGGCGGCUUGGUCGCUUGCGUCCGACUGCUGAAACUUGAUUAAACCCUNUNAUUUAUNGGAAGGUGAANUCGUANCA